UACGGAGGGUGCGAGCGUUAAUCGGAAUUACUGGGCGUAAAGCGCACGCAGGCGGUCUGUUAAGCUAGAUGUGAAAGCCCAGGGCUCAACCUUGGAUAGUCAUUUAGAACUGGCAGACUAGAGUCAUUUAGAGGGGAGUGGAAUUCCAGGUGUAGCGGUGAAAUGCGUAGAGAUCUGGAGGAACAUCAGUGGCGAAGGCGGCUCCCUGGAGAUAGACUGACGCUCAUGUGCGAAAGCGUGGGUAGCGAACAGG
rnacentral:rRNA from 1 species